GAAUAAUCUGAUUUAGAUUUUAUUUGUUAAGGUAAAAUAAACGAUAGUGCGUUGAGGAUUUAUAGUUUUUACGGAAUUGUGGUAUAACGUCAUUUGAUUAUUUAAUAUUAAUUCAGGAAAAAAGUAAUAGAUUUUAUACAACGGUUUUCGAUAGUGAUUUACGAGAGAUUUAAAGUUAUAAUAAUAAUAAUAAUCCUCGAAAUAUUAUCACCUGUCUAAAAAACAAAUAUUUCCAUAAAUUCUUACAAUUACAUUUCCUAUUUCUUCUCUUAUUCUCAUAUUACAUAAAUUAAAUUGCUCGUAAAAUCAUCAAGCAUAAAGAAGUAUCAUCUCUCUUUAAUUGAAACAUCUAUAAAAUAAAUCAACAAAUUAAUAAUUUUCAUCUGUAAACAAUUCAAAAACAAUUCUUUACAACUGAAAUAUCUAUUAAAAUUAGAGAAAACUUUAAAGCGUUUUAACUUCGAAAGUAGUGAUUUCCAAUCAACAAAUGAAAGAUCAUCACAAUCUUGACAUUUGAAAUGCACUUUCAUUCUCAAUAUGAUUUCCAAUUCCGAAGAUUGCGUAAAGAAAGGAUUAAUUUUUGAUCAUUUAUUAUCUCCAUCCUUGUUUAUUUAAACUCGCUUGCAUUUUACUAACCUAUUUCAAAUUUUAGAUUGACGACAGAUGCGAUUCCAGGAAGGUGCACGCAUUUCUAGGAAGAAAUAAAUCACUAGAUCGCUGAUGACCCAAUAAUCUCUCUGCAUCGUCUCAAUCGCUAUGGACAUUUCAAUUUCUUAUAUCUCAACAACCGAUUGAGAUAUCGAGAUGAAACAAAAAAAGACUUGAAUGGCACGGUUUCCUCUAUUUUCUCAGAAUAGGAUAUCGUUAAUGGAUCAUCGAGGGUGUGUCGGACAUUUGCAAGAAGGACGACAAAUGGCCGUGCGCGAUGGAUACGCGUGAGGACGCGAUUAAUCGAUGUUAAGUGCGUUAUAAUGAUAUCGCCGUCAGGCAAAUUCGAGCCUCGUAAAAUAGCUUGUUGGAGAUUCGUGGAUUCUCCACGCGUAUUCUGCCGAGGUCUCGACCAAUAAUUCAAUGACGAUUGAUCCGUGCGUGCCAUCGAUGCCGUCAGAAAAUCUAAUACGCCAGUCAAUCUUUCGCCUUCGGAGAUUGAUGAACCGGGAUUUAUCUUUGUUCUCUGAAUUUCCGAAUAUAUUAUCUCCAAGCCUAUU